GGACGACAGUUUGUGAGUUUUUCACUGUCUCAUGAGGACAUUCAGAUGCACAAAGUCCUGGGCAGGUGAAUUUCAAGGCGAUGAGACGUCCACCAUGGACCGGACCAGAUUUAGCUCCCAGGUCAAAUUUGGGACCAGAUGUCAGAAGACCUGUUGAGGACCACAGUUUAAGGCCAAACAGAUUUGUUUUACAGCGUUCUGAGGACACGUCUACUGGACCAGGUCCCAAACCAGGUUUGGGACUUUGUGACUGGAAGACCUCGACGUCGUCACCGUGACUACAAACACUCGCAAGCACGACUCGCUUUGUUUGUUUGUGCCGCUGUCGUCCCGCAGCUGAGGGGGGAGCGGUGCCACAGCGGAUCACCGCCCAUAGGUUUGAUGUGGACUGGAGUUGUUUGGUGGCUUCAAUGACGCAACGUGCGAGGUGCAGCAGCCAAACACUCCCCCGCCCCCUCAAUUUCUUUUCCACCACAAACUCAGUGUUGAGUCACGACAGACGACAGGACGCUGAGGAGAGCAACGUCCUCCACUUUGGAACGUCCUGGAUUUGAGAAACGGUGAAGUUCCUCCAUUUUGA